CCUACGGGUGGCUGCAGUGGGGAAUAUUGCACAAUGGGGGAAAGACUGAUGCAGCAACGCCGCGUGAGUGAAGACGUAUCUCGGUAUGUAAAGCUCUAUCAGCAGGGAAGCAGAUGACGGUACCUGAUUAAGAAGCCCCGGAUAAAUACGUGCCAGCAGCCGCGGUAAUACGUAGGGGGCAAGCGUUAUCCGGAUUUACUGGGGGUAAAGGGAGCGCAGACGGCAGUGCAGGUGUGGAGUGAAAGCCCGGGGCCCAACCCCCGAACUGUUCUGGAAACUGUGCGGCUAGAGUACUGGAGGGGCAUGCGGAAUUCCUAGUGUAGCGGUGAAAUGCGUAGAUAUUAGGAGGAACACCAGUGGCGAAGGCGGCCUGCUGGACAGUAACUGACGCUGAGGCUCGAAAGCGUGGGGAGCAAACAGGAUUAGAUACCCCAGUAGUC
rnacentral:rRNA from 1 species